AAGUGAUCAACCUUUUGUAUGUUGUGUUUACAUCUUAUUGUGGAUUGAGUUGAAGGAGCGAUCCUAUGUUUGGAAGGCCCCUGAGUGAAGGAGAUCAUUGAACUCGUAUUGGGAGAGGAUAACACUGUGUACUGGUGGGUGAAGACUGUAUGAACAUUCCUUGUAUAUUGUGGAUAGUGGAUGACGGAUGUGGAGGGAGAUUAACUGCCUUUAAGAAAGGGUUCCGACUGCAUAUUUCUCCGUAGCAGUGGGUAAUUCACCCCCCCCCCUCUCUUGUGCUGAUCUAAUAAUCCUCAGUGUUUGUGUGUUUACUCAGUGUUGAUAGUGGUGCCUUGUGUUGGAGAUCGCUGGGAAGGUCGGAGAGGCUCCGGUGUACGAUAUAUACGCCUGCUGUGGUUUGCCCCCUGCCUAUGUCCAUCUGACACGCCCCGCCAGGACUCUGAGCCCGAAACGGGACUACACCACGGAUCUUCUUUCACUGAGUGUGUGGAGUGCGGUGAGUGCUGCUGUAUUGAAGUGUACACACGAGAAGAAUUGUAGUGCCUUUUGCCUUUGUGGUGUGUGGUGUUUGUCUGUGGCUGUGUCCCCGGUCGUAGGAAGAGGCCUGAAAGAGAGGAGCAGUGUAUUGGUGGCAACCACAGCCUUUACUUUAAGUAAGCUGGAGCUUGGACGUGUUGGAGGCGCCUCUGGAGGAGGUUGGAUGACGUCGCCCACACAGCGAUCUCUGGAAGCGAAGGACAGCAGCCGAUCCUCCCCCGUGUGUCCCCUUGCCAAGCUGGGUGGGAAGCCCAGUGUUGUUCGCAGUUUCACCUGUAAGGCCCACCAGCCGUCAGUCAUCGACCAAAACCCGUAUCCGCUGGGAACACCGACCUCUGAAUAUCUUCAGUGGUGAGUAGCAUGUUAACAGCCCAGCCCUGUGAAUACUCACCUGUGUAUUGAACUUUGUGCUUACCUGAGAGCUAGAACCCCUGCACGCUAACAGCCCAGCCCUGUGAAUACUCACCUGUGUAUUGAACUUUGUGCUUACCUGAGAGCU
ensembl:lncRNA